UGGGGAAUCUUGCGCAAUGGGCGAAAGCCUGACGCAGCCAUGCCGCGUGAGUGAUGUAGGCCUUAGGGUUGUAAAACUCUUUCACCAGGGACGAUAAUGACGGUACCCGGAGAAGAAGCCCCGGCUAACUUCGUGCCAGCAGCCGCGGUAAUACGAAGGGGGCUAGCGUUGCUCGGAGUUACUGGGCGUAAAGGGCGCGUAGGCGGAUCAGCAAGUUGGGGGUGAAAGCCCGGGGCUCAACCUCGGAAUUGCCUUCAAAACUGCUGAUCUAGAGUACGGGAGAGGUGUGUGGAACUCCGAGUGUAGAGGUGAAAUUCGUAGAUAUUCGGAAGAACACCAGUGGCGAAGGCGACACACUGGCCCGUUACUGACGCUGAGGCGCGAAAGCGUGGGGAGCAAACAGGAUUAGAUACCCUGGUAGUCCACGCUGUAAACGAUGAUUGCUAGUUGUCGGCAGGCAUGCCUGUCGGUGACGCAGCUAACGCAUUAAGCAAUCCGCCUGGGGAGUACGGUCGCAAGAUUAAAAACUCAAA
rnacentral:rRNA from 1 species